rnacentral:rRNA from 1 species
AGAUGCGAUCAUACCAGCACUAUAGCACCAGAUCCCAUCAGAACUCCGAAGUUAAGCGUUCUUGGGCGAGAGUAGUACUAGGAUGAGUGACCUCCUGGGAAGUCCUCGUGUUGCAUUCC